rnacentral:rRNA from 1 species
ACGAACGCUGGCGGCAGGCCUAACACAUGCAAGUCGAGCGCGCCCUUCGGGGUGAGCGGCGGACGGGUGAGUAACGCGUGGGAACGUGCCCUUUUCUACGGAAUAGCCUCGGGAAACUGAGAGUAAUACCGUAUACGCCCUUUGGGGGAAAGAUUUAUCGGAAAAGGAUCGGCCCGCGUUGGAUUAGGUAGUUGGUGGGGUAAUGGCCUACCAAGCCGACGAUCCAUAGCUGGUUUGAGAGGAUGAUCAGCCACACUGGGACUGAGACACGGCCCAGACUCCUACGGGAGGCAGCAGUGGGGAAUCUUAGACAAUGGGGGCAACCCUGAUCUAGCCAUGCCGCGUGAGUGAUGAAGGCCUUAGGGUUGUAAAGCUCUUUCAGCUGGGAAGAUAAUGACGGUACUAGCAGAAGAAGCCCCGGCUAACUCCGUG